rnacentral:lncRNA from 1 species
GACUAAGUGUGUGUGUGUGUGUGUGUGUGUGUGUGUGUUUACAGGAGAUUGAAUCCAGGGGUGCUCUAAUACUGAGCUACAUCCCCAGCCCUUUUUAAAUUUUUUGAGAUAGGGUCCCAUUAAGUUGCUGAGGUUGACCUUGAACUUGCAAUCCUCCAGCCUCAGCUUCUCAAGUUGAGGGAUUAUAGGCACCUGGCAAGACUACUUAAUUAUGAAGACCUCUGCCUCCUGCCCCAAUCCUACAGCUCAUUUCAGCACCCUGAGGUCACUCUGCCUUCCCAGUAUGGCCAAUUCACUGCCAGCCUUUCAUGCUUUUUGCCAUUACCUUUUCUGUCUGUUUUGGGGGGUAAACAGCUGGACCUGGCUUGUUGGGACCCCCAGAGUCAGACCUCUGGGCCCAGGACCUUGGUAACCGCCCUGAGAGGAAGUCACUGUGCCUCGCUUGCCAAUCGGGGGGAGGACACCUGCUGCUCCUUCCAGGACUGCCCUCCUCCAACUCCAUGGAGAGCCCAAGUCCUGCUCACGCUCUCCAGGCCCCUUGUGGGACUGGGGACUUCCCCGACCCCAGGGUUCCAGCUCAGGCAGAUCCAGCCUCUUCCUGCAGGUCCUUGCUCACAAGCUUCCAUUUCUGACCAGCUUCCCUGUCCCCUCCCCGUCCGAUGGGCACAGCCAGUCCUUCCUCCCAGGCUUCCUGGUCUCUGAGGGGCUGAGCACCACCUGAUUCGCCACAUGCUGCUUCAGCGUCUAUUUCAUUCGAAUGUCAGCUCCACCAGGG